GUGCUCGCUUCGGCAGCACAUAUACUAAAGUUGGAACGAUAUAGAGAAGAUUCGCAUGGCCCCUGCGCAAGGAUGACACACAAAUUCGUGAAGCGUUCCAUAUUUUA
rnacentral:snRNA from 1 species